rnacentral:rRNA from 1 species
UACAGGGGGUGCAAACGUUGCUCGGAAUCAUUGGGCGUAAAGCGCACGUAGGCGGUUCGUUAUGUCGGAUGUGAAAGCCCUUGGCUUAACCGAGGAAGUGCAUCCGAAACUGGCGAGCUAGAGUACGUAAGAGGAUCGCGGAAUUCCCGGUGUAGAGGUGAAAUUCGUAGAUAUCGGGAGGAACACCGGUGGCGAAGGCGGCGAUCUGGGUCGAUACUGACGCUGAGGUGCGAAAGCGUGGGGAGCAAACAGG